ACGGCUCAGUAACACGUGGAUAACCUGCCCUUGGGACCGGCAUAACCCCGGGAAACUGGGGAUAAUUCCGGAUAACGCAUAUUUGCUGGAAUGCUUUAUGCGUCAAAAGGAUUCGUCUGCCCAAGGAUGGGUCUGCGGCCUAUCAGGUAGUAGUGGGUGUAGCGUACCUACUAGCCUACGACGGGUACGGGUUGUGAGAGCAAGAGCCCGGAGAUGGAUUCUGAGACACGAAUCCAGGCCCUACGGGGUGCAGCAGGCGCGAAAACUUUACAAUGCUGGCAACAGCGAUAAGGGAACCUCGAGUGCCAGGUUACAAAUCUGGCUGUCGAGAUGCCUAAAAAGCAUUUCAUAGCAAGGGCCGGGCAAGACCGGUGCCAGCCGCCGCGGUAACACCGGCGGCUCGAGUGGUAACCGUUAUUAUUGGGUCUAAAGGGUCUGUAGCCGGCCGGAUAAGUCUCUUGAGAAAUCUGGCAGCUUAACUGUCAGGCUUUCAGGAGAUACUGUCUGGCUCGAGGCCGGGAGAGGUGAGAGGUACUUCAGGGGUAGGGGUGAAAUCUUGUAAUCCUUGAAGGACCACCAGUGGCGAAGGCGUCUCACCAGAACGGACCUGACGGCAAGGGACGAAAGCUAGGGGCACGAACCGGAUUAGAUACCCGGGUAGUCCUAGCCGUAAACGAUACUCGCUAGGUGUCGGCCACGGUGCGACCGUUGUCGGUGCCGUAGGGAAGCCGUG
rnacentral:rRNA from 1 species